rnacentral:rRNA from 1 species
ACUCAAAGGAAUAGACGGGGGCCCGCACAAGCGGUGGAGCAUGUGGUUCAAUUCGAAGCAACGCGAAGAACCUUACCAGCCCUUGACAUCCCGAUCGCGGGUACCAGAGAUGGAACCCUUCAGUUCGGCUGGAUCGGAGACAGGUGCUGCAUGGCUGUCGUCAGCUCGUGUCGUGAGAUGUUGGGUUAAGUCCCGCAACGAGCGCAACCCUCGCCCUUAGUUGCCAUCAUUUAGUUGGGCACUCUAAGGGGACUGCCGGUGAUAAGCCGCGAGGAAGGUGGGGAUGACGUCAAGUCCUCAUGGCCCUUACGGGCUGGGCUACACACGUGCUACAAUGGCGGUGACAAUGGGAUGCAAAGGAGCAAUCCUUAGCAAAUCUCAAAAAGCCGUCUCAGUUCGGAUUGGGGUCUGCAACUCGACCCCAUGAAGUUGGAAUCGCUAGUAAUCGCAGAUCAGCACGCUGCGGUGAAUACGUUCCCGGGCCUUGCACACACCGCCCGU